rnacentral:rRNA from 1 species
GUCUAUGGCCAUACCACCCUGAGCACGCCUGUCUCGUCUGAUCGUGGAAGCUGAGCCGGGUCGGGCCUGGUUAGUACUCGGGUGGGAGACAGUCCUGCUUCCAAAGACG